UACGUAGGGUGCAAGCGUUGUCCGGAAUUAUUGGGCGUAAAGAGCUCGUAGGUGGCCUGUCGCGUCGGCUGUGAAAACUCGGGGCUCAACUCCGAGCUUGCAGUCGAUACGGGCAGGCUAGAGUUCGGCAGGGGAGACUGGAAUUCCUGGUGUAGCGGUGAAAUGCGCAGAUAUCAGGAGGAACACCGGUGGCGAAGGCGGGUCUCUGGGCCGAUACUGACGCUGAGGCACGAAAGCGUGGGGAGCAAACAGG
rnacentral:rRNA from 1 species